GGAUUAUCAGAUAUAUUUAAUGACUAUUGAAGAAAACAUAUAAAUAUUUGAACCACCAGAGGAUUGGUAUAACUUCCCUCUGUGAGUUUCAAGAAUAUUAUUAAAGAUGUAUUUUGCAUCAGCUGUCAUCCUGGCAUUUGCUACCUUUCUAGCAUUCGUCGAUUUUACGCUUGCAAAACCCGAACCUCAACCAAGCCAAGGUCCUCACUCUUAAAUAUCAAGGAACGGAAGGUGCUCUAGUGUUAUGAUCUUGUGAAAUAACAUUUUAUGAAAAUGAAA